rnacentral:rRNA from 2 species
UAUCAACCUGAACUCAGUCGUGAUUACCCGCUGAACUUAAGCAUAUCAUUUAGCGGAGGAAAAGAAACUAAAAAGGAUUCCCUUAGUAACGGCGAGUGAAACGGGAUGAGCCCAGCGCCGAAUCGAUCAGCCUAUGGUUGCUUCGAAAUGUGGCGUAUAGGUGUAGUCUUCCAGCAGUGUCGUGAGUCCGAAGUCCUUACGAUUGAGGCCAUAGACCAGAGAGGGUGCGAGUCCCGUCCUGGAUUGCGAUGCUGUUGGUUCGAUUGCUCCUUGGAGUCGGGUUGCUUGAAAGUGCAGCCUAAAGUGGGUGAUAAACUUCAUCUAAGGCUAAAUAUUGACUCGAUUGCGAUAGCGAACAAGUACCGUGAGGGAAAGUUGCAAAGGACUUUGAAGAGAGAGUUCAAGAGAACGUGAAAUCGCUGGAGUGGAACCGGAGACAGUUGAUGUUGCUUGGAGACAAGUUUGGUGGCUGGUCGCUUAGUUGUGAUCGUCGCCGGAUGUCGUUUCCUAUGCUACGCCGACGGCGUUGGUCGCUCGUUCUGGCCCGACAGUGUUGCCCAGCUCGCAAGAGUCGGUGUCUUGUUGUCGGUCGUUGGUUCGUGGUGGCUAGCGUUUAGUUACGCUAGUGUGUGUGACGUCGGUGUGAAAGUCGACGACGUUUCCGACCCGUCUUGAAACACGGAUUGCGGAGUGCUUGUCUACUGCGAGUCAAAGGGUGUUAAAACCUUGCGGCGAAAUGAAAGUGAAGGUCAGUCUUGAAUUGGCCGACGUGGGAUCGGUGCUCCUCGGAGUGCUGCGCACCACGGCCCUGUGCGUGUCACUUGUGACUGUGCAGAGGUUGAGCAGUUGGCAAACGACCCGAAAGAUGGUGAACUAUGCCUGAGCAGGAUGAAGCCAGAGGAAACUCUGGUGGAAGUCCGUAUCGGUUCUGACGUGCAAAUCGAUCGAUAGACUUGGGUAUAGGGGCGAAAGACUAAUCGAACCAUCUAGUAGCUGGUUCCUUCCGAAGUUUCCCUCAGGAUAGCUGGAUCUCCGGCAGUUAUAUUCGGUAAAGCUAAUGAUUAGAGGCCUUGGGGACGUAAUGUCCUCAACCUAUUCUCAAACUUUCAAUGGAUAUGAAGUUGCAGUUUCUUUAGUGAACUGUCAACGUGAAUGCGAGGUCCAAGUGGGCCAUUUUUGGUAAGCAGAACUGGCGCUGUGGGAUGAACCAAACGUGGAGUUAAGGUGCCUAACUUCUCGCUCAUGAGACCCCAUAAAAGGUGUUGGUUGAUAUUGACAGCAGGACGGUGGCCAUGGAAGUCGGUAUCCGCUAAGGAGUGUGUAACAACUCACCUGCCGAAUCAACUAGCCCUGAAAAUGGAUGGCGCUUAAGCGAGAGACCUAUACUCCGCCGUUGCGGCAUGUGCGUUGUCUAGCGCCAGGCCGUAACGAGUAGGAAGGUCGUGGCGGUUGCUUUGAAGGCUAUGAGCGUGGGCUCGGCUGGAGCUUCCGUCAGUGCAGAUCGUAAUGGUAGUAGCAAAUAUUCAAGUUCGAUCCUUGAAGACUGAAGUGGAGAAGGGUUCCACGUGAACAGUAGUUGGAUGUGGGUCAGUCGAUCCUAAGGUACUGGCGAACGCCUUGUAUCAUCGGUGGCGAAAAGCUUGCUUUUGGUCCCCGUUUGUCGAAAGGGAAUAGGGUUAAUAUUCCCUAACUGAGAUGCAAAGAUUGUGUUCUUCGGAGCACAAGCGCGGUAACGCAUUCGAACUUGGUUAGUCGCUCAAAGACCGAGCUAGAGUUUUCUUCUCUAGUUAAGGAACGGACUCCCUGGAAUUGGUUCAGCCAGAGAUGGGGACGUUGUUUCCGAAAAGCACCGCGGUUUCUGUGGUGUCUCGUGCUCUUUGAACGGCCCUUAAAACACCAAGGGAGGCUAUUAAUUUGCACUCAAUCGUACCGAUAUCCGCAUUAGGUCUCCAAGGUGAACAGCCUCUAGUCGAUAGAAUAAUGUAGGUAAGGGAAGUCGGCAAACUAGAUCCGUAACUUCGGGAAAAGGAUUGGCUCCAGUGGUUGGAACGAUUGGCCAGUUGGUUGAUGCUUGUCCGGCGCUAUUCUGUCUGCUUGAUGCUUUCGGGCUGAUGGCGGACUAGUGAUAGUGCUUGCUUGUGGACGCUUUCUGGUGUGUGCUAGGACCUCGGUUCUAGUAUCCUGAUCGCUCAUCUAAACAACCGUACUGGAACCGGUACGGACUCAGGGAAUCCGACUGUCUAAUUAAAACAGAGGUGACAGAUGGUCCUUGCGGACGCUGACUGUCACUGAUUUCUGCCCAGUGCUCUGAAUGUUAAAUCGUAGUAAUUCGAGUAAGCGCGGGUAAACGGCGGGAGUAACUAUGACUCUCUUAAGGUAGCCAAAUGCCUCGUCAUUUAAUUGUUGACGCGCAUGAAUGGAUUAACGAGAUUCCUACUGUCCCUAACUACUAUCUAGCGAAACCACAGCCAAGGGAACGGGCUUGGCAAAAAUAGCGGGGAAAGAAGACCCUGUUGAGCUUGACUCUAGUUUGACAUUGUGAAGAGUCAUGAGAGGUGUAGCAUAGGUGGGAGACUUCGGUCGCCGGUGAAAUACCACCACUUUCAUCGACUCUUUACUUAUUCGGUUAAAAGAGAAUUGGCUUCGCGGCCUUUUUUCGAAGCAUUAAGCGGAGCCAUUUUAUGGCACCGUGACUCUCCUCGAAGACAGUGUCAAGCGGGGAGUUUGACUGGGG